GACGAACGCUGGCGGCGUGCCUAAUACAUGCAAGUAGAACGCUGAAGGAGGAGCUUGCUUCUCCGGAUGAGUUGCGAACGGGUGAGUAACGCGUAGGUAACCUGCCUGGUAGCGGGGGAUAACUAUUGGAAACGAUAGCUAAUACCGCAUAACAGUAGAUAUUGCAUGAUAUCUGCUUGAAAGGUGCAAUUGCAUCACUACCAGAUGGACCUGCGUUGUAUUAGCUAGUUGGUGAGGUAACGGCUCACCAAGGCGACGAUACAUAGCCGACCUGAGAGGGUGAUCGGCCACACUGGGACUGAGACACGGCCCAGACUCCUACGGGAGGCAGCAGUAGGGAAUCUUCGGCAAUGGACGGAAGUCUGACCGAGCAACGCCGCGUGAGGGAAGAAGGUUGUCGGAUCGUAAAGCUCUGUUGUAAGAGAAGAACGAGUGUGAGAGUGGAAAGUUCACACUGUGACGGUAUCUGACCAGAAAGGGACGGCUAACUACGUG
rnacentral:rRNA from 1 species